rnacentral:rRNA from 1 species
UUAAAGGAAUUGACGGAAGGGCACCACCAGACGUGGGGCCUGCGGCUUAAUUUGACUCAACACGGGAAAUCUCACCAGGCCAGGACUCCGGAAGGAUUGACAGAUUGAGAGCUCUUUCUUGAUUCGGUGGGUGGUGGUGCAUGGCCGUUCCUAGUUGGUGGAUUGAUUUGUCUGCUUAAUUGCGAUAACGAACGAGAUCCUAGCUUACUAAAUAGUCGAAACCGGCAUCCCCUGUGCAGCCGGCGACAAACACUCUUCUUAGAAGGACAGGCGGCAUUGAGCCGCACGAAGUGGGGCGAUAACAGGUCUGUAAUGCCCUUAGAUGUUCUGGGCGGCACGCGCGCCACACUGAAGGGAUCAUCGCGUGGUUUCCUUGCCCGAGAGGGUCGGGUAACCUGAUGAAACGCCUUCGUGCUAGGGACUGGGGAUUGAAACUUUCCCCACGAACGAGGAAUGCCUAGUAAGCAGGAAUCACUAGUUCCUGCUGAUUAAGUCCCUGCCCUUUGUACACACCGCCCGUCGCUACUACCGAUUGAAUGUUUUAGCAAGGUCGUUGGACAGGCACGUGGCACCUUUGUGGGGGCCGCGGAGCCCGGAAAACGACCAAACUUGAAUAUUUAGAGGAAGUAAA